rnacentral:rRNA from 1 species
AUGAACGCUAGCGACAGGCCUAACACAUGCAAGUCAGGGGCAGCACAAGGAGCAAUCUGAGGUGGCGACCGGCGCACGGGUGAGUAACACGUAUGCAACCUGCCUGUAAGCGGGGAAUAACCCGUUGAAAGACGGACUAAUACCGCAUAAUACUAAAUUACUGCAUGGUAAUUUAUUUAAACAUUUAUGGCUUACAGAUGGGCAUGCGCAUGAUUAGCUAGUUGGAGAGGUAACGGCUCCCCAAGGCAACGAUCAUUAGGGGUUCUGAGAGGAAGGUCCCCCACACUGGUACUGAGACACGGACCAGACUCCUACGGGAGGCAGCAGUGAGGAAUAUUGGUCAAUGGACGAGAGUCUGAACCAGCCAAGUCGCGUGCAGGAAGAAUGUCCCUAUGGAUUGUAAACUGCUUUUGCAGGGGAAUAAAGUGCAUCACGUGUGAUGUUUUGUAUGUACUCUGCGAAUAAGGAUCGGCUAACUCCGUGCCAGCCGCGGC